rnacentral:rRNA from 1 species
AUGCAACGCGAAAACCUUACCUACCCUUGACAUGUCCAGAACCCUGCAGGAGAUGCGGGGGUGCCCGAAAGGGAAUUGGAACACAGGUGCUGCAUGGCUGUCGUCAGCUCGUGUCGUGAGAUGUUGGGUUAAGUCCCGCAACGAGCGCAACCCUUAUCAUUAGUUGCUACGCAAGGGCACUCUAAUGAGACUGCCGGUGACAAACCGGAGGAAGGUGGGGAUGACGUCAAGUCCUCAUGGCCCUUAUGGGUAGGGCUUCACACGUCAUACAAUGGUCGGUACAGAGGGUUGCCAAGCCGCGAGGCGGAGCCAAUCCCACAAAGCCGAUCGUAGUCCGGAUUGUUCUCUGCAACUCGAGAGCAUGAAGUCGGAAUCGCUAGUAAUCGCAGGUCAGCAUACUGCGGUGAAUACGUUCCCGGGUCUU